AGGGCAUCAGCCAGACAGUGACGAGACGCGCUGAUACCGCGGCAGCACGUGGUUCGACUCCACGAUGCCCUACCA
rnacentral:tRNA from 1 species